ACUGCUCUGUGCUGAAGGAUUUGAAGGAAACCCUGUCACACUGGACCAGGAAAGGGUGCUUCUCCACAGACUGCUGGAGAACUAAAAGCUGCCAGGGACUAUUUAUAAGAGUAGCUGUGAGAGGCUCUGUCAGAUUUGUGUGGCAGAGUCUAAAGUCCAGUGCCUGAAUAGGCAGGGAUGCAAGGUCAUUCAAGCCCAUUCAGAUGGUAGGUCACAUCUGAGGCCAUUUACAUCAAAAACUACCUGUUAAAAAGCAUUAUGCCAACUUGGUAUGUGCCAUGCAAGCAGCUAGAUACUAUUGCUGGCUCCCAUAACUUAGACUACCUGUGCUGCAAAAGCUACAAUUCAAGACCUAGUGCUGGAACAGCAGCUGGUGACAGAGUAGAAAGGAGCCAGAAUCUCAGUGGUACAAUGCAAAUGUGGGAAGAUCCCAGUGAAAAAGGAUACACUAUGUAUUUACAAUGGGCUAAAAUUGGACAGUGUACUAUAGGGACAGGUGGAAUAUAAACCUUAACUGACAAGUCAGAUGGGGCCCCAAGUCAGCAGAAAUUCACCACUACCUACAGCUAACUCGGUGCAAGGGGCAGGGUGUAGCAGGACAAAUUGUUAAAAAGCAAGGAAGGGCAGAACCUGUGCAAUGGGACACCUCCCUGUUGACUGCUUUUCUGUUACAACCUCAUCUUUCAAAGGGUGGGUGGUGGUGGUGGGUUGUUCCACUACUGUUCACAUCACCUUUGAAUUUGGCUCGAAGGGUCAGAUUUACCUCUGCACUUCCUCAUUUGCAUGUUAAAAAAAAAGCUUGCCCAAGAGAUCAAAUUCCUGGGAAAAGCACCAACCAUUUUUUUAAGCUACUUUGCCGUGCCAUUAAAGUGAACUAAGAAACAUGCUAUUUCUCCUGCAAUAUGGAUCUGUCACGGUCCACGUAGGGAAGCGCAAGCUCUCUCGGAGAGAGCUGGGAAAGUACAAUGCCCUUGAAAACAGACUCGCGGAAGCUGAAGAAUGCUGCUUCAGCAGCUAAACGAAGGUUAUUAGAUCUCAGACCAAAAGCGUUAAAAAUUGCAGAGGAACUUUUCCAGAAGAGCAGCCUGAACAAAUUGAACAGCCAAGUGGAGAAAAAAAAAAGUGUUAAGUGUUAUUGAAUAUAAAGAGGAACCACAGCACUGGGUACCUUUAAGAGGACUGCAAUACAUAUAUCAAUUAUUAACUCCCUGGCAGCAGGAAGGAAUGGCUUAUCUCUCUGACUAACAGAGAGGAGUGCUGCAGAGAUACAGGCUUCCUCUGCUUCGUAACAUUUAGUAGCUUCCUGAUGCCACCUUGUUAUGCCUUUCUGCAUGAAGCUAAAAAGCCCUUUCAGACCUGGUGUUUUCUCCUCAUGAAGUCCUUUUACCGAAAGUCAUCACCUUGAAACAGAAGUGAGCAUCUUCAGAGGUAGAGGCUGCUACUGACCUUACGGACAGACACUCUGCAGAUGCACGGAUCCAGGAGGCCAGUGGCAGGAUUGGCACUCAUUUUACAUACAAAGGUGAAUUUCUUCUUCC